CCUCUUUGGUGCACAGCAGUGCUCUUGAAUUGGUCCAUCUAUAGGGAAUGCCAGCGGUUUGCAGGGGCUGCGUGAUGGUGCGCAUUGAUUUCCGCCAUAGGAGCGUGGCUUUGCUGAGAUCCUGAUAGAAUGUGAGUGAGUGAUUCUCGAAUUGGAACGGGGUUUUCCCCCGCAGAGCCUGCAGUAAUCUUUGUUUAUCCGCAAAGGAUCGGCAACAG